rnacentral:rRNA from 1 species
AGACUGUCUGCUUCUAAUAGUCCGCCUAUAUGUCGGACAGGUACUCUGUUACCUUAAACCAUU